UUGUUUUAAGGAGAGUCAUGCCAAACGUUUGCUUCACAAAGCGUGAGAUGGGCUAAAGAAAUGGCGGAUUCUUUAGAAUCGGCUCCAGCGAGAAAACCUUGAUGAUCUAAUACAUACAAACGCCCGAAUGCAUUCCUAUCAUAUCAUUAGAAUGAAUACUAAAUAACAUACGAACAAAACGAAUUCCAGGAAAAUUUAGCAUGUUAUCACGAAGCCCUGUUAAGUGAUAUGAUUUAAACAAGGAACCUAUUUUUUUACUUUAUGCAUACCACAAAAACGACUCGGGAUAGUCGCCUUGAAAAAACAUUCGAAAUAAGUUUUCUACAUCUCCUCAGCAUAUGUACGAAAAUUUACAAAGUUUUUUCAUAAUCACAUACCAUGUGUUCUUUUUGGGGCAGUCCGGGUACACAACAAAGAAAACUGAUUCCUCUAUAAUUUCCAAGUGAGUCUUUAUAAAAAAGAAAUAAAGUUGUACUCAUAAAUGCAUUCGGACAAAUUACCUCAAAAGGACAUCCUAAUUCUAAAGCAAUAAUAUACCCAGAUGGAUGCGUUUCAAAACGUGCUUUGUAAGCAUUGUACACUAUAUUUUUGCAUGGAAGCCAGUUAUCACGGAUUCCAAUCAUUCCAGCUGGAAUUCAUUCUAGCAACCCUACUCAUCAUAUAUAUAUAUAUAACAUAGUGUUAAGAGAGGAUCUACGCCAGGAGGAGUGAUGUUGACACCAUUAUCAAUAGCAUCUAUCGCUUCAACAAAAGACUAGGAGGAUUAGAUGUUCUUUGAUCACACAUUAUAGUAUAAGAAUGUUAAUCUACUUUGUAUAAAAGGUUGUAAAUAAUAUUCACAUCUUCCUCAGGUAUGGAAAAAAUUUCCCUUAAAAGUCGUUUUCCAAAAAAUCUUGAUGAACGCACAAAAAUAAUUAGGAAAAUACAAAAAUAAUAAAAAGAAUUUGUUUACUUAUAGACUUGACCGAAACUACUUAGUUUCGUUACGUUACAAGUUGAAUUGAAAUAUUCAGAAAAUCCUUUUUGGUGAUGAUCAAAUCUUAAAAUAAUUUUUAAAAGUUGGAGUAUAGAAA